rnacentral:lncRNA from 1 species
GGUUGUGGAUCCGAGGAGAAACGAGAUUAUAAAUGAUAGGUAAUGGCCUGUCCCUCAUGCUUCUCUCUUGCCACAGAUGACAGAGACACCAGCAGUGUCUGCCCUGGCUCCCUCUCCUCCUGGUGAACAAGCCAGAGAGGAGCAAAUUGAGGAGUAUGACCACAAGGCUCCAUCAGUGGUCACACCAGAGCCUGAAUCUCCUGAGCCAGUAAGUGCCAGUUGUGGGUGGUGCUGUCUUUAGUGCAUGGCAGAGCUGCAAGUUUCGCUUUUGCGUUUCAGAGCUUUCAAAAUUCAAAAAGUCAGUUACAAAGAGAUCAUUGCUACCUGAUAGAAGGGAGGCUGGAAUAUUUAUUUCAGAGCAAUUUGCAGUACAGGUGGAUUAACAAAUUUUAAUACCAUGAGAGCGCAUUGGAAUCCCAUUGCAAUUGGAGUUUCCCAAUUUUCCUUGGAAGAAAUGGUGGUAGAUGGGAGAAGAUAGGAAGUUAUAAAUGAUAGGCAACAGCCUGUCCCUCAUGCUUCUCUCUUGCCACAGAUGACAGAGGAAACAACAGUGUCUGCCCUGGCUCCCUCUCCUCCUGGUGAAGCUGAAGAGGAAAAAAUUGAGAAGUAUGACCGCGAGGCUCCAUCAGUGGUCACACCUGAGCCUGAAUCUUCUGAGCCAAUGACAGAGACACCAGCAGUGUCUGCCCUGGCUCCCUCUCCUCCUGGUGAACAAGCCAGAGAGGAGCAAAUUGAGGAGUAUGACCUUGAGGCUCAAUCAGGGGUCACACCAGAGCCUGAAUCUCCUGAGCCAGUAAGUGCCCAUUGUGGGUGGGGCUGUCUUUAGUGCAAGGCAGAGCUGCAAGU